rnacentral:lncRNA from 1 species
CAAAAGGAAAGAAGACCCCACAAACAAACAAAAAUAACAGCUCUAAAAGAUCAUGCAGGUACGGUGCCACUGAUUCCCAGUAGCAGAUGUUUCGGGUGUUGCAACUCCCAUCAGAACAGCUGCAGGAAUGUAGAAUCACAUCUGGGUUUGCAACGGGGCUGCAUCAUUACCCAUUGACAGUGAAACAGCCAGCUGCUUCCAAUUCGUUUUAGCGACUGCGCUUCGAGUCUGAGCCUGUGAACAUCCCACGCUUUACAACCGCCGCUUGUCGUUCCCUGCACACGGUACUUGCUGCGGGCUGCUGUAUCGGCCGGCCCUGGGAGGGGGAGCAAAGCCAGGGGAGGAGAGUCGGCGCGGUGGCUGUGCUUUGCCUCUGGCUGCGGCAGGGCUGAGCCGCGGGAGCUGGUUGAGCCCUUUUCCUGUGAAUAAAGGCACUGGAGGUGCUGCAGCCUUCGUGUACUGCAGUGACCCUCCGUGGGGCCAGCUUCCUCCCCGCUAAACCCGUCACGCCACCUUCUCUCUCCUGCUGCUUUCUCCCUCCAGCGACUAUGUUCAGGACGUGCUGCGGGUUUCGGGCUGGUACUUUAGACAUCACCGAAUGGGAAAGAGCCUCAAGUCCCUGCAGCAGGGGCGAGCAAAAGCGGCCAACUCGGGCACCCCUUUCUCCUGCCACCACUCCCUCCCAGUGCCGGCUUGCUGCUGGAGGUGUCUGUGGGCUGGAGGUCCCCACCAGCGGGACCCAGAUCCACAUGCUCAAGUUCUGCGCUUAAAUGACUUAAAAGGAAGGAAUUUUGCUUUUGCUUUGGCUCUUUGCAGGAGACCAGCCUGGGACCCCAACUCCUUCCGUACAGCUAGGUCAGCUGGAGAUAUUUCCACCAGGAAAACUCCUCCCUGAGACACUGAUCACAUAGGAAGCAAUCUCUGGAUCACUGUUCAGAAACUCAAGGAUUGCCAAAACACAGCUUUUGGAGUUCCCCCCUGGGGCAGGGGGUUUAGGUAAGGACUCCACACUUGGAUCGAGCCUCAGGAUGUUCUUGUUUUCUCUCCUACAGUGGUGAGUCAGAUCCGAUCCGAUUUGCAGGCUCAGCCUCCCACUGGGCAGUAAAAACACCGCUCUCCUCUCGGGUAUAGUUUCCAGCUCCAAAAUAAACACUGAGGGCAGCCAAACUGUGGUCA